AUGACACUUGCGUGGGAAGAACGGCAAUAUUUCCUCAGUUACUCAACCGCAGGAGCUGCCUCCUGGCAGCAGUGCUCAGGAGGCGCCUCGGGGGCGAGGGCUGGUGCCCGGCAGCAGCUGUGCCCCGGGAUAUCGCACCGCUCCUCACAGCUGUGUCCCGGGACAGCGCACCGGCCCGGCCCGCCCCUCGGCAGCUGUGCCCCGGGAUAUCGCACCGCUCCUCACAACUGUGCCCCGGGACAGCGCACCGCUCCUCACAGCGGUGCCCCGGGACAGCGCACCGGCCCGGCCCGCUCCUCACAGCUGUGCCCGGAGCCUGCUGCUGCCCAGGGCUCCCUGCCGAACGCCGCGGGGAGCGGGCUCAGACCGCCAGCCCUGCUCCCUCGGGACUCUCUGGCUGGUUCCUGCAGGCCUCCGGGGAGCUCAAAAGCAGCAAUCAAACAUCCAGGUGAUCUCACUGCCAACACCAAUAAUUCUGGCUGUCUGCUGCGGCUUGAUGGCAGCUGCUCGUACCCAGCACGCAUCCACGGGACAAGCCGCGCCAGCUGCCAAGUCCUUUCCGACCCGUUUGCUAACAGCGGCUCAGAUUCAAGAGACAUAAGCCAGCCGCAAGACAGACACACAAGAAUUCCAGGCUACCCGGUUAUCCUAGACGGCUUUGUCGGGGAAGCCCGGUGCGUGGCAGCUCCAUCAUUAGAGCAGCGGAGCGGAGGGUGCUACAGAGGAAACAAAGGAGCCAGUAACCUCAGUGACUCUGCUGUGGACAGAUGGGCAAGAAAUUAGCUAAAGGUAAGAGCAGAACUUGAAAAAUA
rnacentral:lncRNA from 1 species